UACGUAGGGUGCAAGCGUUGUCCGGAAUUAUUGGGCGUAAAGCGCUCGUAGGCGGUCUGUCGCGUCUGCUGUGAAAACUCAGGGCUUAACCCUGAGCUUGCAGUGGGUACGGGCAGACUAGAGUGCGGUAGGGGAGACUGGAAUUCCUGGUGUAGCGGUGAAAUGCGCAGAUAUCAGGAGGAACACCGGUGGCGAAGGCGGGUCUCUGGGCCGUAACUGACGCUGAGGAGCGAAAGCAUGGGGAGCGAACAGG
rnacentral:rRNA from 1 species